rnacentral:rRNA from 1 species
GAUCCUGGCUCAGAAUCAACGCUGGCGGCGCGCUUAACACAUGCAAGUCGAACGGGAAAGUGAGCAAUCAUGAGUACAGUGGCGUACGGGUGAGUAACACGUGGAUAAUCUACCUUUUAGUGGGGAAUAACUUUGGGAAACCGAAGCUAAUACCGCAUAAGCUCGAGAGAGGAAAGCCGUAAGGCGCUGAAAGAGGAGUCCGCGGCCGAUUAGCUAGUUGGCAGGGUAAAGGCCUACCAAGGCAGAGAUCGGUAGCCGGCCUGAGAGGGCACACGGCCACACUGGCACUGAAACACGGGCCAGACUCCUACGGGAGGCAGCAGUGGGGAAUCUUGCACAAUGGGGGCAACCCUGAUGCAGCGACGCCGCGUGAGCGAUGAAGCCCUUCGGGGUGUAAAGCUCUUUCGUCAGGGAAGAUAGUGACGGUACCUGGAGAAGCAGCUGCGGCUAACUACGUGCCAGCAGCCGCGGUAAUACGUAGGCAGCGAGCGUUGUUCAGAGUUACUGGGCGUAAAGGGUGUGUAGGCGGUUCUUUAAGUUUGGUGUGAAAUCUCCCGGCUCAACCGGGAGGGUGCGCCGAAUACUGAGGGACUUCGAGUGUGGGAGAGGAAAGUGGAAUUCCUGGUGUAGCGGUGAAAUGCGUAGAUAUCAGGAGGAACACCGGUGGUGUAGACGGCUUUCUGGACCAUA